CCUUCUCAGCCGACGUGCUCGUCACACUUCAUUUCCAAUCAGAUCAUCAACGUGAGAACGUUGUAAUCGAAACUUUGUACUUAUAUCGUGUACUUGAAUUUCUGAAACGUCGAUUAUUAUCCUGGUACUGGUUAUUAAUGCGACUAUGUAUGCAAUGUCGCGGCUCGUUGAACAUUUCUCGUUUCUCAAGCCAGAUGCCCAGAGCUCGAUAAUUUUGAAAUUUAUAAUUUCGUUAUACUCGGAAACAGGGACAAUUCUCUUGCUGCGUACGACAAAGUCAGUAUGGUCUCAUACAUGUACCUCGUGAAGAAAUGCUCAUCUGGAUACCACUGUGAUGGAAUUUUUUCCCGAGGUAUAGAUGUAUAGAGGUUCCAGUAUUUACGCUUCUCAGUAUUACUGGAACUUCAUUAUUUCCUCGAGAGUCUUGGGGAAGUGAAUAACUGUCAAAGUACUCCAAAGAUUACACAUCGAAGGGGCUGCGAUAGAUAGACCUGAUCGAGAGGAUGAUAUCCAGUUUGAAAAAAUUUAUCUACAUGCGCAGCUGCCAAGAGGGUAUCCUGUUGAUGAAUAAGAUACUGUUAAACCUCUUACAAAAUGACUACUCCUCAAGAGAAGGCACAGUGUGUAUCAUGGUUUAUUGAAACUGCAGACUCAGCGAAAUUUCAGAACUAAGUAUGGAAGAAAUUCACCGUCACGUCCAAAAAUUCGUGUAUGGCGCAAGAAAUUUACGGAGACAGGGACAGCGUUUGAUAAAGGGAGGAGUGGACGAGGAAAACAUCGAUCGUGUAAGAAAUUGAGUAACGUCUUGUGAAAUAUAAAUAUAAAGGUUUCGAGAGCGUACAAAUCGUGGAGAAAUUUCAGAUUGCAGCGACUCGUGAGAGAGGAAAUUAGAGAAUCGUGAAAAUAUCGAGUCGUGAUAGAAUGGAGACAUGAAGAGCAGCGAGUCGUAAGAAUAGUAUAAAUCUUGAGAAAAUUAUAGCGAGUUGUGAUAGUCUUAACAUGUUAAGGCCGUGUCAGUCACUGUUGACUGACGAUGUACAAUUUAAAAAAUUAUAUUCUUCUAUUAAUAAAUUUUAAAUAAUUUGAAGAUCGUAAAAGAAUGUACCUAAAUAUUACUUAUUACCGAAGAAGAAUUUGUUAGAUGGAGAGCUAAUUUCUUCCGAUAUUUUACUUAUUUUAUUUAUUUUUAUAUAUUUUAUAUAUUUUAUUCUUUGUAUGAUCUUUUUUUGAUUUUCAAAAGCAAAUGCGAUAACUGUACGAAAACUUUUGAACGAGGAUAGUAUGCGUGUCUUUUCUUCAAUCUCACGAGACAAAGAACUGCGUGGAUUCGCAACAAGAUUUUGUUAAUGGUUAUUUGUAGGUUCGAGAGAUUUUUAAACUUCAUUGUGAUGUACUAUAUAGAAGAAUGUUAUUUAUGUGAAUAUGUAAUUAUGAUUUCCGUAGAACGUCACAACUAAUCAUUUUUAAACUGCGAAUAUUUGUGUAAAUUUCUACUUGAAAAUUACAUUG